rnacentral:rRNA from 17 species
AAACCAACAGGGAUUGCCUUAGUAGCGGCGAGCGAAGCGGCAAGAGCUCAGCUUUGGAAUCGCUUCGGCGAGUUGUAGAGUGAAGCCAGUAGCUGGAAACCACACACGUUCAAGUUUCUUGGAACAGAACACCAUAGAGGGUGAGAGUCCCGUUGGAUGUGAUGUCGGUGCCCAUGUAGUUACUGUGCAGCGAGUCGAGUUGUUUGGGAAUGCAGCUCUAAGUGGGUGGUAAACACCAUCUAAGGCUAAAUACCGGCGAGAGACCGAUAGCGAACAAGUACAGUGAUGGAAAGAUGAAAAGCACUUUGAAAAGAGAGUGAAACAGCACGUGAAAUUGUUGAAAGGGAAGGGCUUGCAAUUAGACCCAUUUAUGGGACCAGCAUCGGGUGGGUGGAGUGUAAAAAACCAUUGGAACGUGGCU